UACGAAGGGUGCAAGCGUUACUCGGAAUUACUGGGCGUAAAGCGUGCGUAGGUGGUUCGUUAAGUCUGCCGUGAAAGCCCCGGGCUCAACCUGGGAAUGGCGGUGGAUACUGGCGGACUAGAGUGCGGUAGAGGGUGGUGGAAUUCCCGGUGUAGCAGUGAAAUGCGUAGAGAUCGGGAGGAACAUCGGUGGCGAAGGCGGCAUCCUGGACCGGUAUUGACGCUGAGGCGCGAAAGCCAGGGGAGCAAACGGG
rnacentral:rRNA from 1 species